AGGAUGAACGCUGGCGGCGUGCCUAACACAUGCAAGUCGAACGUCCUGUCUCGCAAGAGGCAGGGAGUGGCGGACGGGUGAGUACCACGUGGGUCAUCUACCGUGAGGUGAGGAAUACCGGCGAGAAAUCGCCGACAAGACCGCAUAGGCUCGAUGCAAGUCGAGCAAAGCUCUUUCGAAAGAGGGAGCGCCACACGAGGAGCCUGCGCCCGAUUAGCUAGCUGGUGGAGUAACGGUUCACCAGGGCGACGAUCGGUAGCUGGUCUGAGAGGACGAUCAGCCACACUGGGAUUGAGAACGGCCCAGACUCCUACGGGGGGCAGCAGUGAGGAAUUUUCGUCAAUGGGGGCAACCCUGAACGAGCAACGCCGCGUGCAGGAAGAAGGUUUUCGGAUCGUAAACUGCUUUUCGUCGGGGAAGAGGAACGGACGGUACCCGAGGAAUCGAGCCCCGGCUAACUACGUGCCAGCAGCCGC
rnacentral:rRNA from 1 species